CCAGACUCCUACGGGAGGCAGCAGUGGGGAAUAUUGCACAAUGGGGAAACCCUGAUGCAGCAACGCCGCGUGAGUGAAGAAGGUUUUCGGAUUGUAAAGCUCUGUUAGCAGGGAAGAGGAAGGACGGUACCUGCAGAGGAAGCCACGGCUAACUACGUGCCAGCAGCCGCGGUAAUACGUAGGGGGCAAGCGUUAUCCGGAUUUACUGGGUGUAAAGGGAGCGUAGACGGCAGUGCAAGUCUGGAGUGAAAGGCGGGGGCUCAACCCCCGGACUGCUCUGGAAACUGUACGGCUGGAGUGCAGGAGAGGUAAGUGGAAUUCCUAGUGUAGCGGUGAAAUGCGUAGAUAUUAGGAGGAACACCAGUGGCGAAGGCGGCUUACUGGACUGUAACUGACGUUGAGGCUCGAAAGCGUGGGGAGCAAACAGGAUUAGAUACCCGCGUAA
rnacentral:rRNA from 1 species